GUAUCAGAGGGGCUGUGCACCUCCUGUAAUGCAGCCGCCGAUCGGCGCAGGUCACAAGCCCUGAUAAAUGCAGAGUGCAGA
rnacentral:ribozyme from 1 species